rnacentral:rRNA from 1 species
GAUGAACGCUGGCGGCGUGCUUAACACAUGCAAGUCGAACGGAAAGGCGCGGUUCUUGCUGGUCUCUCGUUAGGGGCGGGCGGGUGAGUCACCGGUGGAUACCCUACCUUUAAGACUGGCACAACUACGGGAAACCGGAGAUCACAUCGGAUCAUAUAUUGAACCGCAGGGAUCGAUAGUGAUCGCCGGCUUUGCUGGCCCGUUUUGAGGGAUCCGCGCUGCAUUAGCUAGUUGGUACGGUAACGGCUUUCCAAGGCUACGAUGCGUAGCCGACCUGAGAGGAUGAUCGGCCACACUGGAACUGAGACACGGUCCAGACUCCUACGGGAGGCAGCAGUGGGGAAUGUUGGGCAAUGGGGGAAAGCCUGACGGAGCAACGCCGCGUGAGUGAUGAAGGCCUUCGGGUCGUAAAACGCUUUUAUUAGGGAAGAACAAAUGUGGAAUAAAACACGGAGGGGAUGACGGUACCGGAUCAAAAAGCACCGGCUAACUACGUG